UUAAAGGCCUCAGAUAUGUAGGAUGCUUUUUUCUACUGCCAUGGUCUUGCUCUCUCUGUUCCCCAUUACACUGCUUUUUUCUUUGUGUUUUCUUCCAUCUCUGUGAAAUAGGUUUAGAAACAUUAUGAGCAACCGGUGCUGUAAAAGCCUUGUGGUGCGAAUAGACUGGAAAGACGCUUGGAAGAGCCUCAAGUUCAGGACCUACUCUAGAGACUCCAUGACUAGUUACAUUGGUGGUGCCUUCUCAGUGCAGUAAGAGCCUGGUGGUACGACUUGUGAAGUUGCUUGGAAGUGCCGCGAGUUCAGGAGCUGGCAGUUUUUGUUGCUGAGCAUGAUGCCACAUGGUGUGGGAGAUCCCUUUGGCCAGCCUGGGCCAGCUGUCCUGGCUGUGUCCCCCCCCCAGCCUGUUCGGUGGUGGGGCAGCGUGAGAAACAAGAGUCCUUGACUCAAGCACUGCUCAGCAACCACUGAAACACUGGUGUGCUACCAAUACUGUUUGGGUCACAAAUAUAAAACAGCACUAUACCAGUUAUGGUGAAGAUAAUUAGCCAUAUCACAGCCAAAACCAGUACAUAAUGAAAAUGAUGUUGACAAAAAUUAAGCUAAAAGCAAGGAAUCUCUUAUCACUCCUCUGCAAAUCUUGCUCAAGGAAUGCAAAGCUAUGCAGUGAACAGAAGUGAUUAAAAGCCUGGACAGACUUAUUGAUUUUAUUGGAUGUUGGUGAUCGGGCCAUCGGAGAGGAAACUCCCAGGUUUUGUUUCCUCACUUUCUUCUUUAUGGAUACAGAGUAGAAGCUGGCAUCUGGAAGAACCAAUUGGCAUGCACUUUGGCAUAUAUCCUGUAGAAAAGUCAAAAAAUCUAAUCAUGCUUUCAAAACUAAUGAAAACUGUUGUUUUCCAGCCCCUGUUCCAGGAUCUAUUUCAAACAUUGUUUCAGUGACAGACUGAAGGAUACAUGUUCAUGUCUAGUUAUGAAUGCCACUGGAUUUGGGGAAUAAUGAUACAUUUCAAACUUUAUUUUCGAUGUUACUUUCAGCAAGGCACUGAGUGAGGACUUUGCAUCUUGUGGAGAAAUUGCUGCUAAGCAAUGAAAGAGCCAUCAACACUGGAUGGAUCCAAAGAGAGGAAAGAAGAGUGAGAGGCUUUCCACCAGGAGAGUCUGAUGUGUGGAGAACACUUCAGAAAGAAGGGGAGAGGAGAGAAAGGGGAGAGGUUUCCAGAGGUUCUGGAGUGGGAAUGCUGGAGCAGAAAAGUUGUCGUGUCUUUAGCAAUGUACAUACUCUCCGCUGAAGAAGUUACUUCAUCACUAGAAAAACAAGCUAAAGCACACGUUUAGCAUGUAGUACUUAAAUUGGCUUAAACAAUUCUUGCCCUGACUUUAUAUUCCUGACUCCCUCUUUGUGCAAAUGUGACCACUUGGUAAAUCAGAUGAGGGAACAGAGCCAGCUAAGAAAUGACCUUGACAACAAAGUUUGAAUUUGUUCAGGGAGAGACUACACAAAUAUUUGGGCUGGAAAAAUGCAGGGUAGCAGUGGUGGCUAUGAAUACUCUUGAAUAAUGAUGACCUGGUACUGGUACCCUGGUAAUGAAGCUAGUACUGACACCAAAAGAAAUAUACACCAAACUAUGCUGUAAAAGUAGAUAAAAGGGUCUCCAUACCCUUUAAAAAUGCUAACCAAAGUGACUUAGAUUGACAAGGGCUUGAGUAUAAUCCUAUUAUUUUGCAGCAGGGUUCCUUAUCUCCAUCUUUUUUUUCCUAAAGCCAGAUCAGUUCUCCCAUACAGAUUAUAGCAUGGCUAUACAGGAAACUACCAGCACAUGUGAAAAGGCAGCACAACACAAAAAUGGAAUUUAGUGUAUCACCAGCAACAACUGGGGUGUAGCACAGCAGGUGCAGUCAGGAAUGUGUUUUCCAUGGAUUUGCAUCAUUGUAUGUGGAAGUAAAAACCUUGUUUCCCAAGAAAAUUAUACAAUAGAUACAAUUGCAUUCCAUAUAUCAGUUAAUACCCCCUUUAACUUCUGAGGCCAUUCACCAAAUGCUACUAAACUUGACAGCACUAGAAACAAAAACCAAAAAAAUAGAAACUCUUUGCAGAUAAUACAAAGAUAAACACAGUGGAUAGAACUCAGUCACGGUGCCACUGAAGGACAACUGUAGAGUAACCUCUACACUUGCUAGGUAAUAGGAAGACAUGAAUGCUUCACACCGGGAUGCCUUACAAGACACCAGAAUGCCCUUUUCUACUCUCAUGUUUAAAAAACUGGAAAGCCCAUUUGACGUUACCUCCUUCCUCCAGCUGGGAAAUUUAUAAUCUCUACUGUGUUGGUUCUCUGCUAUCUGAUAAAAGGUGUACUCACACUAUAGUCUUCUGUUAUUUAAUUAAUGACAAUCAGCAGGGAGAAACAAAUCUACAGACAAUCAGUAUUUUGCUGCCCUAAAAGCUACUUAUUUGCUUUCUGCCAUAUCCAUUAAGAUGGGAACUAGUAAUGUUUCACAGACCAACGUAUUCUAUAGAAAUAACUCUGAGGACAGGAAAAGAAAAGGUACUGGAGCACUGAGGUGCUGGCACGUAGAUGGAGUGAUCGCAGAACACAUUAUUUUGUAUGUAACAGGCCCAAAAUGUGUCAGAGGCAAUUGUUCAUUAGACCACUAGUGUUAGUCGCAGUCUGCCUUGUGAGGAGGAAUAUGCAGAUCCCUCUCCUUCAUCACAGGCAAUUUCCUCAGCUUGGUACCAUAGCUGUUGUUACUGUAGUUAUGACUUCAAUUCAGACACUAAUAAAUCACAAUGUACAACUUUCCAUGUCCUGCUGCCAAAUGAGGGUGUCAGACAGUGCUGGGAAAUCCAGAUCUAGGAAAACUGAAAUGCACCUUCCAGAUCCAGUGGAGCAAAGAUAGGAUUGAGCAGCUGAUUUAAAAUACAGCUCACUGCACUCAGUGCUGACUUUCUGAACAAGCAUGUGAUGUAUUAACAGCAAAGAAAAGUUAGAGUUAAUUGGGAAACAUUUAAUUGUGGUCAACUUGAUAGUCUCUUACAAGUAACAACAGCUCUCUGAGAGCAGCCCAGACUUUCCUCAAGCUGGGGCUGUGGAUGCACGCAGCCAUUGUGGUGGUAGAUGCUGUCCCCAGCUGCCUGCCUCCAGCCUCUUGCCAGAGGUUAGACCCCAUGAAUAUUCACACAGGUGUUUUUUAAUCCAUUUCAGAAAAACAAACAAACAAAAAACCUGUGUUAAUAUACAGCUUGUUUUUGAUAGCAUGCCUUUGUUUGGUAUGGUGUACCUGAGGAAGUGUUUAGAUGAGAGAGACAAACCCUCUGCAAGGUGCAGUGACAAAAUCUGAGGAUUGGCUACUGAUCAAUGGCUUCUACUGGUACAGCUAUUUGCAGAGUUCACACCUGGAAUGUAAAUAAAACAUAGAAAAUUAUAUUUACAAAAGCUUGUCAUUCUGAAUGCUAUCACUGUAAAAAAUUGUCACAUUGUACCUGGGUAUUUUUAAAUACCAAAGUCCAGUUCACAGGCAGGCAACAGAUGCUGUGAUAUGAUCCUUCCCAGAUGCAGAAUCUCUGGAGGUUCCGUGUCUAGAAAAUAAAA